UCUGUGGCACUUUGCAAUUUCACUUCCUCUCUGUGCAUAUAUCUGUUCAGCACUUUUACUAAAAUAAUGAACCGCAGGUAAUGCUAGCCUUCUUUUCGACUGGCAUGAAUUUGUUGUCAGGUCUUGGUGCAAAGAUUGAGAGAGAGUCCAAGCUGAAGCUCAAUGACUUUGACAAGGUACAUGAUCCUAGCAUUGAUUGGUGAGAAAGGGUAUGACUGAAUUGCAGAUGUAACUAGUGUCCUGCCCAUAUCGAUCCAAUUUCUGUUCUGGCAUGUGUGCGCCCCUUGCUGAACUAUUGAUCUAUAUGCAGCUGGAACUACAAAAAGAGAGCCAAAAGCUCCUACACAAGCUUCCAAAGCUAGACUCCAAUGACGCCAUGAGAGCAGCAAAACUUGCAAAGCUAGACUCCUUAAGUAAAUUUGUGGAUGUAUAUUGCUAGGAAAGUAGUAUUAGAUGUACUCCUUUUGUGGAUGAAAGGUUGCCUUUGCACAAUCUAUUUUGGUGCAUGAUGUGGAUUAUAUAUAACAAUUUCUUCUAUAUAUUGAUCAGCUACUGUUAAGUUGAUCA